CGUCCAAAUAGCUGAAAACGGAGACGCAAACUCAUACACAACAAACUAUAUUCGACCGGUUCAUUGAUACAUGAUUGAAAGUUAUUCUUAAUUUUUUCAGUAUGAAGGUCCACAAACACCCUCUGCUUUGGGUCCCCGGGUCUGAGGUCUGUCUGCGCCUGAGUUACCCUCCACUCGCUAAUUAUUGUCUCGUCUUAGCAUUUGUGUUGAUGCAGAUUUCCUUCAGUCAUGGAAAAAAGUCUUUACGUGAGCAUCCUCUAAAGCUGCAGGAAAAAUUGUGUAGCAACAUCACAACAACACUGCUGCUAUGAGAGAAUUUGCAUUAUUUUGAAUAAACCCACAGAAAGAUCUCACAUUGAGUUCAACUGCAAUGAACUUUGAAAUGCCAAAGAGUCCAAACUAAUAAUAGCUGUGGCUGUUACCGACUGAGAAGAGCAGCUGGCAGCAGUUCAGCGAGUUUAUUCAUGAACGUGGGUUUGGGCGAGCGGCGAGACCGACCCGGAGGGGAAAGGUCGGAUCACAGAGACGAGAGAAACCCGACGGAUGUCCAGCACACGAUCCGGUCGCUUCCUGUUGACCCGAGUGUCCAUCUGAGGAAGUAACAUGCUGACCUCCAACCGGCUAAUAGGCCGAGGGGACAUAUCAGAUAUCAUAGUGUCCCUGGCAAACGGGGCGGCGGGUCUAAUUGGAGCCGGGCUGAUUAUCUCGGGCUGAGUGCCGUGAGACGAGGACGGAGACGGAGGGACCGGUAGCUCAACUGACAGGUGGUAGAACAGCAAUUAUAAAACUAAACUUUGUUGCCUCUCAGAAAGCAGGUCUUAUUUGUAACGAGUGAAGUGAUAAAAGAAGAAAAUAAUUGGAUUUUUUUUUCAGCCUCCAAGCCUUAAAUGUUUUCAGCAAAGAGUCUUUGAACAAAGUGUAUUUCAUUCUAACCUUUGAUUAACGGUUCCCGCACUCGAGGCCGAGCCGCAAAAAAGCAAAUUAUUCUCAAGAUCAAGCUUUAGCCAUCUCAUUAUCUUUUUGCCAUCUCUCCUCAGUUUGUUUCCCUUCACUCGCCCCGACCGGCGAUGUUGUCCGUCCUGUGGAUGUGCUGGUGUCGCUUUAGCGUCUGUUUGUGUUUUUGCCUUUGUCGCAGCAACGAGAAAGCUGUGUUUCAUUUUCUGGGGCCAAUUAGUGACUCACCGACCCGCCUUCACUGUCCGUGUGCGUUUGUUCUGAUCCGGUCUAAAACAAAGAUCUCGCUGGUGGGCGGGACUUGAACCCAGAUGGCCACAAGCCUUAACAAAGUUUUAGCUCGGCCAAAUGAAAAGUGUUCAAUGCGACUUGUCAACUUGUGUGGAGGAGCAGAGGCCGCUUGUGAAAGACCUGGGGUGAAAGGUCAGGUCCGACUGAGUCGGGAAAUACUUUCAAGAAAAAGUAAACUGACAGACUAAGAGACCAAUUUGCUUUUCUUACCACCUUUUCUUUUCUUGAGGGAAGAAGCGAGGCGCCACAGAUUGUGAAGCUACUUUUUUCAGAUGAUAGUUUAUCAUCUUUCAUUCCCGAUGUCUCAUCGUUUUGGCAGAUGCACAUUUUUACCUUCAGUGUGAGAAGUUCACCGGAUCAAAACCAGGUUUUUCAUGACUAAACUUGCGGACUGCGGAGGAGUGGCGCAAAGACCUGUCAAUCAGCGUGUAGCCCCGGCCUCGUCUGCCAUCCGCUGCUUCCUGGUCUGUUUUACUGUCAAUGGACCAUAAUUUACUGUUGUGAUGAAGAUGAACUAGAUAGAGAUGAAACUAGAGAUUGAGACCAUGAACUCAUGUUUACAAUGUUUACUGAGGGAAUAAAUCAAGAGAGAAGUAGAGUCAUUUCCUCAUAGACGUCUAUGGGAGCAGAGGAGUCGCCCCCUGCUGAUCACUACAGAGAAGUAGAGUCAUUUCCUCAUAGACGUCUAUGGGAGCAGAGGAGUCGCCCCCUGCUGGUCACUACAGAGAAGUAGAGUCAUUUCCUCAUAGACGUCUAUGGGAGCAGAGGAGUCGCCCCCUGCUGGUCACUACACAGAAGUAGAGUCAUUUCCUCAUAGACGUCUAUGGGAGCAGAGGAGUCGCCCCCUGCUGGUCACUACACAGAAGUAGAGUCAUUUCCUCAUAGACGUCUAUGGGAGAGAAUGCAGUAUUAAGAAAGGAAGCUUUGGAUCCACACGGUAGAACCGGAGGAUGCUCACUGUUCUGUUACACAACAAUAUAAUACUGAACUAUCAUUCAGAAGUGAUGAUCUACAUUCAUCUUCAAAAAGUAAAGUCAGAUGUUUUGUAGCUAUUUUUGACAAAAAACGUGAUGCUCUGCAGCUUCCUCAGACGCUCAGACAUUCAUCCCACCUGUGGGGAAUCAAGAGGAGAUUUUCUCAUCACUCCUCUGUGAGCUUCAGCUCUGCAAACACUCGUCUCCUCCGGCGGCUUCGGUCCGCUGCCGACACAAACCCGGCGUUCAUCUCCCCGCUCUUUAAUAUUUCAUCUGCUGCGAUAUGAUGAGCGAGGACCCGGCCGACUCACCUGCAGCCGCGUGGAGAAUCUCGGGGAAAAAGACUCAAGGAGUUUUAUUAUUCUUAUUUUAGCGUUCUGACUCUGACAGUUUCAUCUCUGAAUUAUUAAAAGCGCCGCUACCUGCAGCGAGUUCUCCUACACAUUCACCUCACGGUCAGCCGCUCAUUAAUUAAUCACAACGCUCGACUUAUGGAUUUUAAUAUCCUGAAUCAUUUAUGUGGAAGCUUUAUUUUAACCGCCUACAAACAUCUAAUCAAUAUAAGGAACUAUGACUCUGUGGAUAGAGAGUCUUAACUGUGAGAAGUCAACUCAACUUUGGGAGAGUUUUUAUUUACCACACAGACUCCCCCUUUUCUCCUGUUUGCUUCCAGUGAGGAGACGUACCGACCUUCUGCCUCUGCAAACAUCAGCUUCAAGACUUUUAGCCGCGCUGAUUAUUUUCCUGUGACCUCCUCUCGCGAGCGGCCGCGGACUGGGGAGGGGGGAGGAAACGGCGUCUCUCUGGCCCGCUAAAGGUCGCCGUCUCAUCUCCUCGUUCAGCCGCCUGUCUUCGAUCCGGGUCACAUCUCAGAGGGAACUCGCACUUCACGGACUCGUGAAACAUGAAGUGUUCACCAAACAUAUCGUUUGAAGAGGAGAACACGUCUGAAUGAGGUGAGAAGAUGAAUAAACCAGUCAGCGGAAGGAUUCGCUUUAGGAGGCUUUGAAGGACGCUCCUCUUAGCGCCUCCUGGUGUCUCCGGGCUGAAGGGGGAGUCCACCAACAGCCCCUCCGGUUACACGGACGCUUUGAACUGUGGGUAAUCGCUCAGUGAGGAGCCUGAAUGUGCUGAGAGUUCUCAUCAUCCCCCCUUAGCCGACCUCUCCGCUCAACCUUUGGAAGGGAACCCGACAGACCACUUGAUGCCCCCCCGGCUGGAUUACAGCACCAGCUUCCUCUUCGUCCUCCAGACGGUUCCUCUCAAAGGGAAAACCAGCGAGAACAAAGACGCUGCAGAGCAUCAUCUUCUCUUCUCGGGUCCUGCACACUUGAACUCGACGGCCUACAGCUCCUCCGCAGACCAAACCGAGGAUCCUCCAGAAAGAGCUCAGACGUUCAGGAGGAAGAAAAACACGGAAAUAAAGGAGCCUGAAGUGAAGCGAGAGGAAAGACAACGAUGUGAUGCAACGCUGGCGAGAUCUCAGCGAACACAAACAAUAAACCUUCGGCUCUGUCAGCAGAGUUCAGCGCAACACUCCCGUCUCUGUCUGCAAUAAGUUCUGCAAAGACAGAAGUACCUCACUCCAGCUGUGUCAGCAUUAAAGGUACUUGUAGUACCAGGAGUAAAGGCAGCCCUCCAGCAGAAGAAUAUACUGUAUUUUACAACAUUGUACAUCAAUUAUGUGUUCAUGCGUUCAUCAGCUGGAUGACGUUUCAUCACUUCAUGUAGUUCCGAGUUGCUUUUAAUUACCACAUGUUUGAUCUUUUCUAUUCAUACAAUUAAAUCAAACUAUAUUUUAUCUAAGUAACACAAGUUAAAUGUAGUGGAGUAAAAAGUACAUUAGUCCCCUCUAGGUUGAAGUAGCAGUAUGAAGUACAAGUACAGCACAUGAGUAAAUGCAUCAACAUCUUGUGUAAUCCUUUUCUUUGUGUUUGACCUUCAUCUAAACAUCACAUUAUUCUACUUUUAGAGUGAGAUUUAAAGUCUGAUUGAGUUCAGCGGCGAAUCGAGAGACGUUUUCACACGUCUGUGAUAAAGAAACACUCUGAUAAUAAACGUUGUUAGAUGAUGGUUUUCAUGUUUAUUAUCAAGUCUUUUUUAAGCAGCAGAAACCAGUCGGAAGUGAAAAUGUGUGCAGUGCUUCUGCUACGUGGCCCUGGGCCUCCUUUACCCCCCCAAUUACCCCCCCCCCUCCUCGGCUGAUUAUUGAAACUGUCCUCUGGGUGAGAACGUACAGCAAUAACACGCAAAAAAAGCCAAUUGGGUUAAACAACAAGCACAUUGGCCCCCGUGCUGGAGAAAGGGCAGAAUCUAAUAGUCAGGUAGCAAUAUGUGAGUGGAAUUACAGCAUUAGUUUUCAUCAGUGUCCCCCCAGCAGCGAGGGGGGGGGGCACAAAUCUAAUUGAGAGAGAACGCAUUAUCUCCGCCAUUGUUUGCAGGCUUUUCCUCUUUUCUCCGUCGCUGGUGAAACUUUGGGCGGCGCCGUUGUGAGGAGACGAGGAGGCGUUGUGAGGAGACGAGGCGGAGUUGUGAGGAGACGAGGCGGAGUUGUGAGGAGACAAGGAGGCAUUGUGAGGAGACGAGGCGGCGUUGUAAGGAGACGAGGUGGCGUUGUGAGGAGACGAGG
ensembl:lncRNA